rnacentral:misc_RNA from 1 species
AUCAUCAUCAUCAUCAACAUCAUCCCUAUCAUCAUCUUCAAGUCCACUAAAGUGGUAAUCUAUAUGUUGUUGUUCGGUGACCAAUUUCACAUGUGGCUCGAGGUUUUCAAGAGAUUUAAGAGCCUUCUUGAAGAAGCAUAACUGAGCAGCAUGGUGUCGUGCAGCCUGUGUAAGAAGACUUCUAGAUUGUCCUUGCUUUAGGGAUUU